CAAUAGCGUAUAUUAAAGUUGUUGCGGUUAAAAGCUCGUAGUUGGAUUUCUGUUGAGGGUGGUCAGUCCGUACUUUGUACGAGUAUUUGAUUCAGCCUUGGCAUCCUCCUGGGGAGCGUAAUUGUACUUGAUUGUAUGAUACGUAAUUCAGGACUUUUACUUUGAGGAAAUUAGAGUGUUCACGGCAGGCGUUUGCCUUGAAUAUGUUAGCAUGGAAUAAUAAUAUAAGACCUCGGUUUUAUUUUGUUGGUUUCUAGAAGCGAGGUAAUGAUUAAUAGGGACAAUUGGGGGUAUUCGAAUUAACGCGUCAGAGGUGGAAUUCUUGGAUUGCGUUACGACGAACUACUGCGAAAGCAUUUACCAAGGAUGUUUUCAUUGAUCAAGAACGAAAGUCAGGGGAUCGAAGACGAUUAGAUACCAU
rnacentral:rRNA from 1 species